GUAUGGUUAGUUUAGUGGUAAAAUUUUUCAUUGUGGUUGAAGGGAGUGCAGUUCAAUUCUGUGACCUUACC